rnacentral:piRNA from 1 species
UUACAUAAAUGGUGACACCUCACAGC